rnacentral:rRNA from 1 species
GACGGAGGAUGCAAGCGUUAUCCGGAAUGAUUGGGCGUAAAGCGUCCGCAGGUGGCAGUUCAAGUCUGCUGUCAAAGACCGGGGCUUAACUUCGGAAAGGCAGUGGAAACUGAACAGCUAGAGUAUGGUAGGGGCAGAGGGAAUUCCUGGUGUAGCGGUGAAAUGCGUAGAGAUCAGGAAGAACAUCGGUGGCGAAGGCGGUUCUCUGGGCAUGUCCUGACGCUGAGGAGCGAAAGUGUGGGGAGCGAACAGG